AAGCCCACCCCGCGCGCCCGGGCCUGGAGGGCUCUCACCGCGGUCCGGGCGCCGCGCUCGCCUCUCUCCCCGGGAAGCGCGGCGGCCGCGACCGUCCGCGCGUGGAGCCGGUUCUUCGAAGGGCUGGCGGGCCUCCUAGCCGGAAAAUGCCGGCGGAGGCCGUGGUGGGGGCGGGGAGGAGCCACCGCCGCGCCCCAGACAUCGCAGGAAUUCCGGACGCUGCGCCGGGCCCGGCGGCCCUGAGGCUGGCACCUGGCUCCGGUCGGGCCGCCCAGGUUUUGUGGCGCCCGAGACCAGCGUUGGGAAAUUAGGCUGGAGCCAUCAUGAAAACUUUUUCAGGCAGUGCACGCUCGCCUGUGCCUGCCCAUCUGCUUCCAACCUCUCCCCACCUUUCGGGGCGCAGCCUGCCUGCUCCAUCGGAAUGCCCUUUAGAUGAAUCCCCUUGUGCUGUUACUGUGUCCUUGUCGUCCAGCUCUCUGGUUUUCUUUUCUAUACACCUUCUCGGUUUCCAGAGUCUUAAUUCGCCUGCUUGUCCUUAACCAUCAAAACUCUUUAUUAAUAUCCUGGCUUUCGCUGAUUUUUAUUCUCCCUACCCCUUCUCCCUAGCUAUGUAUUGCUGGGUGAGCUCCCGAGGCUUGAAAACCCAAGUAUGCUGUGCUGGCUGCGUUGUAAUCGGUAGAGAGCCACCAGCUAAAAAUUGUAUUUUGUACCAACUCUAAUGGCAUUUAAUAAAUGUAUACCUAAAAAGAGUGUGUGUGUAUAUAUAUACUAUUUUACAGCAGAGUCACUAAUUGAUUUCUAAGCUUGAUUUUGCCACCUUGUGAUAGUGUUCGUAACCAAUUUUUUUCAUAAAUUUCACAAAUGUGACAACAGAUAAAAUCUUAUAAACAAUAUUAGAUGUAAAAAACUCGCAGUAAAUGCCGCUGUCUAUGCUACAUGACUCAAAUACACCUGCUUUAAAUGAUUUCCAGCAAAAAUGUCCUUGCUACAGUUACUAGGACAUUGAUAUACUAAGGUAACCAUUCAGAUUAGCACAGACUUUGAAAGAAAUCCGACUAAACCGAAAAUAAAUUAGUCAAAAAGUAAUUACUAAGGUAACCAUUCAGAUUAGCACAGACUUGGAAGAAACCUGACUAAACCGAAAAUAAAUUGGUCAAAAAGUGGUCGGGCAAAUAGCUUGCUUUCAGGCUGAUCUCCAUGAUAUAAAAAAGUUGCCGUAGCUGGCAAAAGUUCUUUCGGAUUAUUGUUUCAAAAUUGCCCUGCUAGUGUGAUUAAGGUCCACGGUCAACUUAAUUGUUUUGAAGAAAGAGGAAGUGGCCCAGAGCGCCCCUUAUUCAGAGGAGAGGUCCCUACCUGGUUCCUCCCAAGCUCAAGCUUCCACCUAUACAACCAACUUCUUCCUCUCUGCUUGUGGGUCUCCUUCCUGCCCCCACCCCAUCCCACCCCAUUCACCAAGCUUUCGCUUCUAUCAGAGCACAUCAGCAUUUGCAACCUUUAAUACUAAAUUAAAUUUGACUCAAAUUUUUAUUCCUGGUAAUGGAAGAAACUUGUAUAGUUAAUCUUCCAGGUAACCUGAACAGAAUAUGAUAAUGUCUCAAGAUAUGUGUCCUUGUCUUCAGUUCAAAUCAACCUAGAAGAUAUCGGAGUGGGGCAGAAUCUUGAGAUUAUAAACAUGCGGGUAUAGAAGGCAUUGCUGGUCUUCGUAUCUAGAAGGCUGCACCCCUUUUCUCCCCAGUGUGACAGCCUUAGACAACAUUGGUCAAUGAAUGUCAUAUCCAGGUUGGAAUGCUGUAAAAUGGUUUUAUACAGGCUUCACCUAAAAACGUAACCUGUGAAUUACAGCUGGCUCCAAACAAGUGACCACAUGUAGGCCGGAAGGACUCUGGUAUAGAUGCCAGCUGACCUGGUUCACAGAUGAAAUCCUUGUCAUCUAAGAAUCUUCCCAUUAGAUUCACUUACAGAUGUGUUUAUUCAUAGACUGUUCACCUUGAAAAGCAAAGGCCCUCAGCUCAUAGGUAGUAACAGCCUCCACUUACCCAGCAUGUUCUAGAGUAUCUCUAAUCCUCACAGCAACAUUACAUCCCCAUUAUGUGGAUGAGAAAACAAGUCCUGAGUGAUUACAUGACUUUCUCAAGGCAGUCACCACUCACCAGUAAGUGGUGAAGCCAGGAUUCAAACACAGGUAUAAUUGCAAAGCCCAUGUUCUUUCUACCACACCAAGAUGAUUCAAGAUUAUAUGGAGUUAGAGUCUUCACAGAGGUAAUCGAGUUGGGUCUCUAGAUUGAACCCUAAUCCAAAAUGACUGCUGCCCUUAUAAAAAGGAGAAAUUUGGACCAAGACAAACGAACACAGGGAAGAACGUACAGACACCAGGAGAAGGUGGCCAUCUACAAACCAAGGCACACCUGAGGCUACCAGAAGCUGACAAAGAAGCAUGGAACAGAUUUUGUCUUACGGCCAUCAGAGGGAACCAACCCUGCCAACAUCUUGAUUUUGGACUUCUGGCCUCCAGAAAUUCAAGACAGUACAUUUCUGUUGUUUAAGCCACCUAGUUGUUUGUACUUUGUAGUGGCACUAAGGGAAACUAACACACAGAUGCGUGCCAAGAUGGUGGUUUCUUUUGGUUGGCUUCAUAUCCGUUAGUGACCACUCCUGGUGAGGCACUAUUCUAAGCCUGAAAGUCCAGUAGUUGGAAUCUCGCUGAGAGUUAUAACCCAAAUAAAUAUUCCAAGGACAAACAAGCAAACCAGUAUUCCUAUCAAUGCUCCUCACGCCAAGCGAGAAGGUGAACAAUUUGCAUUUGGUCCCUAGACAGUGGCAUGGCGUGGCAUCUGACACCCCUACUGUUCUUACAGACUUCUGGGUAAAAGUCUUCACUUGCUGCCCUUGUACAAACUUUAUUGUUCGUUCGUUCUUUCUUUUUUUUUUUUUUUGAGACAGAGUCUCGCUCUGUCACCCAGGCUGGAGUGCAGGGGUGUGAUCUCGGCUCACUGCAACCUCCACCUCCCCAGUUCAAGCGAUUCUCCUGCCUCAACCUCCUGAGUAUCUGGGAUUACAGGUGCCCGCCACCACACCUGGCAAAUUUUUGUAUUUUUAGUAGAGAAAAGGUUUCACCACAUUGGCCAGGCUGACCUCGAACCCCUGGCCUCAAUUGAUCUGCCCACCUCGACCUCCCAAAGUGCUGGGAUUACAGGUGAGAGCCACUGCACCCG
rnacentral:lncRNA from 1 species